rnacentral:rRNA from 1 species
GACGAACCGUGCGAGCGUUGUUCGGAAUCACUGGGCUUAAAGGGCGCGUAGGCGGGCUGGCAAGUCUGGGGUGAAAUGCCGCGGCUCAACCGUGGAACUGCCUUAGAUACUGUCGGCCUCGAGGAAGGUAGGGGCAUGCGGAACUGUAGGUGGAGCGGUGAAAUGCGUUGAUAUCCUAAGGAACACCGGUGGCGAAAGCGGCUCACUGGAUCUCUUCUGACGCUGAGGCACGAAAGCUAGGGUAGCGAACGGG